rnacentral:rRNA from 1 species
GAUGAGCUGUGGAUAGGGGUGAAAGGCCAAUCAAACUCUGUGAUAGCUGGUUCUCCCCGAAAUGCAUUUAGGUGCAGCGUUACGUGUUUCUUGCCGGAGGUAGAGCUACUGGAUGGCCGAUGGGCCUUCACGGGUUACUGACGUCAGCUAAACUCCGAAUGCCGGUAAGUGAGAGCGUAGCAGUGAGACAGUGGGGGAUAAGCUUCAUUGUCGAGAGGGAAACAGCCCAGACCACCA